UAGCUCUGUGGUUUGAGCAUUGGUCUCCUAAACCCAGGGUUGUGAGUUCAAUCCUUAC
rnacentral:tRNA from 1 species